GUUUGUUUGUUGCGGUGCUGGAGAUUGAACCAGGGCCGCGUGCGUACUAGGCAAGUGCUCUCCCACUGAGCCACACCCCAGCCCAACCUACUUACCUUCCUGUUUUCCUUCCCUUUCUUUCUUUCAUUUCUGUGGUACUGGGAAAUUGAGUCCAGAGAUGCUCUCCCCCUGAGUUACAGCACCAGCUCUUUUUAUUUUUCAUUUUGAGAUAGGGUUUUGCUAAGCUGCUGAGGCUAGGGUUGAACUUGUGAUCCUCCUGCCUCAGCCUCCCGAGUCAGUAGGAUUACAGAUAUGCAGCGUUGUGCUUGGCUUUUGAUACCAUUUAGUUACUAUCUGACACAUCAUAUAUGUGUGUGUAUGUAUGUAAACAUGAACGUGUAUGCUCAUGUAUGUGUACACACAUAUAAAAAUAAAAUGUCUUAUGGGAGACUGAGGCAGGAAGAUUGCAACUUCAUGGCCAGCCUGGGCAACUUACUGAGCCCGUGUCUCAAAAUAAAAAGUCAAAAGAGCUGAGUGUAGCUCAGUGGUAAAGCACCCCUGGGUUCAAUCCCCAGUGAGACACACACACACACACACACACACAAUCUUGGAUAUGCAAAGAUGGUUAGGAAGAAUACUUUCUAGUGUUUUAUAGCACAAUUGGGUGACUGUAGUUAACAAUGAUUUAUUAUAUAUUUUUAAAUAGCAAGAACAAAGGAGACGAAAAUACCAUGACCCAAUCUGCACAUUACAUACUGCAGACGUGUGGAAACACACUGUACCCC
rnacentral:tRNA from 1 species